rnacentral:misc_RNA from 1 species
UGUGUGUGUGUGAAUGUGUGGAAAGUAACAACCAAAUCAUUAUUACACAUGUCAACAUAAAUCAGCAGGGUACUUAUAUUUUUCCUUUUUCUGUUUUUUGGCUGUUCUGUCGGCAAGACAAUGUUGCGUCAUUAGGUUGUCUAUUUUUCAAUUAGUUGGUAAGAUCUCCUUUCUUUUCUUACUCUGAUGAUGUGUUUAUGUAACGUUAGUUUUAAUAGGAAAUAUUAGGAGAAUGAAUUGAAUUAUUGUAGUUUUAUGAUAAGGAGUUUACUAUUGGAACUGAUGGUCUUCGCUCAUCAUCCUUUUGUUGCAGUUUGGGGUGUAUGCAACCAUGCUUUCCAUCUUCACUGCAUCUUGAAAUGGGUG